GCUCCAAUGGCGAAAUUGGUUGAAACGCGUGGGUUUUAGAAACCCAUACCCUAGUGGAAAACGUUGUAGGUUCGAGUCCUACUUGGAGUAC
rnacentral:tRNA from 1 species